rnacentral:rRNA from 1 species
UAUAAGUGUUAUACAGCGAAACUGCGAAUGGCUCAUUAAAACAGUUAUAGUUUAUUUGGUAAUCGAAAUUACAUGGAUAACCGUGGUAUCUUCUAGAGCUAAUACAUGCAGGUUAGCCCGACUUCUCGGAAGGGCUGUAUUUAUUAGAUAACAGACCAAUAUUCCUCGUGUCUAUUGUGGUGACUCAUAGUAACUGAUCGGAUCGCAUGGACUUGUUCCGCGAUAAACCAUUCAAGUUUCUGACCCAUCAGCUUUCGAUGGUAGUGUAUUGGACUACCAUGGCUUUCACGGGUAACGGAGGAUUAGGGUUCGAUUCCGGAGAGGGAGCCUGAGAAACGGCUACCACAUCUAAGGAAGGCAGCAGGCGCGUAAAUUACCCAAUCCUGACUCAGGGAGGUAGUGACAAGAAAUAACGGGUCGGGGCAUUUGCCUCGGGAUUGCAAUGAAUCGAAUUUACACCCCUUAAUGAGGAUCAAUUGGAGGGCAAGUCUGGUGCCAGCAGCCGCGGUAAUUCCAGCUCCAAUAGCGUAUAUUAAAGUUGUUGCAGUUAAAAAGCUCGUAGUUUGAUUUCUGGACGGGCGCUAACACCCGCUUGCUAGUGAGGAGGCGGCGCCCGCCCAUCCUUCUGUUAACGCCAUCGGCAUUCAUUUGCUGGCGGCGGGCUCAGAUAUUUUACCUUGAGAAAAUUAGAGUGUUUCAGGCAGGCUUGCGCCUAGAUACAUUAGCAUGGAAUAAUAGAAUAGGACUUUGGCCUCUUCUGUUGGUCUGAGGGGUUAGAGUAAUGAUU